rnacentral:lncRNA from 1 species
UGCUCUAUAAAUAACGGUUAAUUCAUUGUAAUUCACAACACGAAUAUAUGAAUAAGAACUGAUUUCCUUUGCCCACCCCUUUAUUUUCUUGAUUGUUAACAAAUUACUUGCAUCAAAACCCCUCAACUACUAAAUGAAAUAAUUUUAUCUUUAUAUCUACACUUCAUUUCCUGACUUAGGCAUAGGAGAUCCUUCGCCCAUGGACCUCUGGCUCUUCAAAUGCUGCUAGUGUUAUGGAUUUGAGAUUGUCGACACAGAGCAGAGUGUUUAAGCUGGAAUUAAUCAGCCCCUAUCGAUCAUUGACAUGCAAAUUCGAGGUAAGAAUAAGAUUGAAUCCAUGGAUGGUGUGGUCAAAAUCAUGGAGUUUUCCAAGUGGAAUAUUUGUUAGAUGUGACCACCAUGUAGAAACCUCUAGCACAAUAUGAAACACAAGAUCCUGUCCUCACCAUGCCUGUUCAAGCAAAGUGCUUGGUUGCCAGGCUGGACUGACCGUGCACCUUGGGAAAGGAUUACGCUUAAUAUUGAAAUCAGAAAACAUAAAAGCAUGUUUGGCUAAAGGUUAGCCAAACAGCAUACCAUAAGUCUGCAAAGAGUUUCUUUCCCAUCUAUUAAGUUUUAGGAUAAACAAGUAUCUAUUGUCAUAACGCUUUUUCAGUCUUCUGAACAUUUUUCAGAUUGAAAUCUCCAAAUCCUUAUUCCAAGUAUGCUUCAUAUAAAGCUUAUGGUCUUAUCAUAAUGCUUCCAAUUAAUUACAUAAAGAUAUCCAGUACAUCAGUAAAUAUAAUGAACAAAUAACUGAGAUACUAUGAUAAGAUAGUUCACAGUUCAAUCCUAUAAGCUUCUUAUCAAUCGAAGUUGGAAAAUGUCCUAAAUAGAAAAUUGCAUCAGGUCCAUGCCCAAAAUAGAAAUGUUUGUUUCCCAAUCCAUGGGCUUAAUUGCAGAAUUCAUUAUCACAUUAAAAUAUCGAGAGAGAGAAACAGCAAUCUAAUAGGCAUACAUCAUAUUUCAUUACAGGAGAGCUGAUCACUCGUCCUUUGGGAAACCAAGUUGGAGUUGUCCACUAAAAUGCACCACUAGCCACUUUCGUUUCAUCUUUUACUACUCGUAAGUCGUAAUCAAUCAUCUGUGGUAAAAAAGAACUGAAAUAGGACACUAAUCUUUAAACCACAUACAUUACUUUCAACAUUUUUUAUUUUCUUUUUGAUAAAUAUCAAAUAUUUUAUUAAUCAGAAGGUAAUACAUAGGAAGUGUAUUAUACACUUAAACAAGCAACCAACUCCUCUACCACUCCAUACAACGAGCUAACUCCUAUGUUUCAGAAUUUUCCCUUUGAGAUUCAAGAAAAAAGAAACGAAAGGUAGAUAACAGCCAACUAAUUCACAGCAUUCCUCAGCCUCAAUGUAGGAUGCAUUAUUAACUGGGGAGAUAGAAAAAGGUAAACUUCCCAUUACCCACAAAAAUCUAAAUCCCGGCUUCAAAUUUCGAUAGUGAUAUAGCCUUACAAAAGCCACAGCAGCUAAUUUCUUUAAUUAAUUAGUACAACUUUACCAUUUAGAGUCUACUUGAAGGGCUUAACCACCAAUCAAAUGAGAGUUUUGCCCAACACAAAACAUAUGCUUCAAAGUUAUAACAACAUACUAUAGACAAAAAAUAAUUUUGAUGAGGAUAAGCAUGCCAGAUUAUGAUUGCAACCCGAGGGCUAAGUGAUGGGAAAAAAACCAGGCGCCCUUGCGAUAAGAUUAUAAGAUCAAAAAGCAAUCUGUGAGCCAUAUAUCGGUAUUUUCAACCCCCAAAGAAUGGUACCCAAUUAAUUACUACGACAAAUAAUUUCCAGAACCAUUUUCUUUUUGAUAAUAUAGCUAUAAGCAAUUACCUUCUCUGAUCGUCGUGACGACGACAAACGAAGAAAGAAGGAUGAUAACGGCAAGAUGUUGGGGUAUUUGAGGACGCACUGUAUGUCUCUUUGCACCUCUUGCAUACACUUUGCUUCUCCUUUGCAGCUUCUUCUUCUCCUUUUACAUUCUCCUUGCCCAUUUUUGUUGGCGGUUUCCUCUUUUCCUCUUUGGCUUGUCUCUGCUUUGAUCCAGAAUGUUCAGAGUUCGUUCGUUCAGAUAUCCAUUGUCAGAUGAAGCGCAUUGAAGUGUUGCCGAUUCGGAGACUGACGAUUUUACGCUGAAUGCUAAAUUCUCCGAAAUGCAUUUGGAAAAAUAAUGGAAUUGCUCUAUAGGUCCCCAGAAUGUUAUACCAAUGACGUGGAGUUAAAUGUUUCGUUGGUGAACUUAUA